rnacentral:rRNA from 1 species
AAAUUUUAAAAUUAUAAUACUAAAAUAGUAAAUAAUUAUUUAUUAAAACUUAAAUAAUUUGGCGGUAUUUUAGUUCAUUUAGAGGAAUCUGUUUAAUAAUUGAUAUUCCACGAAUAAAUUUACUUAAUUUUUAAUUUUGUAUAUCGUUGUUAUAAAAAUAUUUUUUAAUAAAAUUAAUAUUUAAAAAUUAUUAUAAAAACUUAAAUCAGAUCAAGAUGCAGAUUAUAAUUAAGAAUAUAAUGGAUUACAAUAAAAUUAUUUAAAUGAAUAUUAAUUUGUAAUAUUUAAUUGAAAGUGGAUUUAAAUGUAAUUUUAUUUAAUUUAAUAAAAUGAUUAAAAAUUAAAAUAUGUACACAUCGC